rnacentral:rRNA from 1 species
AAUCAACGCUGGCGGCGUGCCUCAGACAUGCAAGUCGAACGCGAAAGUUUCCUUCGGGAAGCGAGUAGAGUGGCGCACGGGUGAGUAACACGUAAGUAAUCUACCCUUGGGUGGGGAAUAACAUCGGGAAACCGAUGCUAAUACCGCAUAAUGCAGCGGCUUCUUAUGAAGACAGUUGUUAAAGCAUUUAUGUGCCUGAGGAGGAGCUUGCGGCAGAUUAGCUAGNGGUAAGGUAAUGGCUUACCAAGGCGACGAUCUGUAGCCGACCUGAGAGGGUGGUCGGUCACACUGACACUGAAUAACGGGUCAGACUCCUACGGGAGGCAGCAGUCGGGAAUUUGGGCAAUGGGCGAAAGCCUGACCCAGCAACGCCGCGUGAAGGAUGAAGUUUUUCGGUAAU